AACCAGUAGUUGUGUGCACAUCCAAUCCUGAUUAGGCCAGGUGCAGGAUAAUCAAGAAUAGCAGACAAAAAAAGAUAGGUAACGAUCUGCACACUAGUAAA